rnacentral:rRNA from 1 species
CCUACGGGUGGCAGCAGUGGGGAAUAUUGGACAAUGGGCGAAAGCCUGAUCCAGCCAUGCCGCGUGUGUGAAGAAGGCCUUCGGGUUGUAAAGCACUUUCAGUGGGGAAGAAAGCCUUGGGGCUAAUACCCUCGAGGAAGGACAUCACCCACAGAAGAAGCACCGGCUAACUCCGUGCCAGCAGCCGCGGUAAUACGGAGGGUGCGAGCGUUAAUCGGAAUUACUGGGCGUAAAGCGCGCGUAGGCGGUCUGAUAAGCCGGUUGUGAAAGCCCCGGGCUCAACCUGGGAACGGCAUCCGGAACUGUCAGGCUAGGGUGCAGGAGAGGUAGGUAGAAUUCCCGGUGUAGCGGUGAAAUGCGUAGAGAUCGGGAGGAAUACCAGUGGCGAAGGCGGCCUUCUGGACUGACACUGACGCUGAGGUGCGAAAGCGUGGGUAGCAAACAGGAUUAAUACCCGAGUAGUC